rnacentral:rRNA from 1 species
UCUUAGUGGCGGACGGGUGAGUAACGCUGGGAACCUGCCCUGUACAGGGGAUAACACUUAGGAAUAGGUGCUAAUACCGCAUAAGCGCACAGUAUCGCAUGAUACAGUGUGAAAAACUCCGGUGGUACAGGAUGGACCCGCGUCUGAUUAGCUGGUUGGCGGGGUAACGGCCCACCAAGGCGACGAUGCGUAGGGGUUCUGAGAGGAAGGUCCCCCACACUGGUACUGAGACACGGACCAGACUCCUACGGAAGGCAGCAG